rnacentral:rRNA from 1 species
GUCUACGGCCAUGCCACCCUGAUCUCAGAAGCUAAGCAGGGUCGGGCCUGGUUAGUUCUUGGAUGGGAGACCACCUAGGAAGACCAGAUACUGUAGGCA